GGCAAAGACUUGCAAAGGGUCAUCCUCCUUCAAUUGAAGAUAUUUUGGACAAGAAGCCACAAAAGAGUGACCUCCUUAGAUAUUUCAAAAGUUCUGCUGCUCAUUAUUCAACUAUUGGUACUGCACUUGAUGUUCAAGUGGAUGACUUGUUGCAUAGUUCAGGGACUGCUACUCAUAAGCUCAUACUAGUGUUCCAGAGAUGGAUUGACUCCAAUAAAGGAGUGACCUGGAGGAAAGUACUUCAAGUUUGUGAAGAUUAUCCAGACCAACUUGGAAGAGUAAAAGCUGAAGUGGAAGAAUUCCUAUCAUCA